rnacentral:tRNA from 3 species
UAGCUCGUCGUCCAAUGGUUAGGACACCGCUCUGAUAAGGCGGAAACCAGUGUUCAACUCACUGCGGGCUUACCA